CUAAGAAUCUUGCGCAAUGGGCGAAAGCCUGACGCAGCAACGCCGCGUGGGGGACGAAGGCCCUCGGGUCGUAAACCCCUUUUGCGAGGGAAGAAGUUCUGACGGUACCUCGCGAAUAAGCCACGGCUAACUACGUGCCAGCAGCCGCGGUAAUACGUAGGGGGCAAGCGUUGUCCGGAUUUAUUGGGCGUAAAGCGCUCGCAGGUGGUCCGAUGCGUCGUGCGUGAAAGACCCCGGCUCAACCGGGGAGGGUCGUGCGAUACGGUCGGACUGGAGGCCAGUAGGGGGAUGCGGAAUUCCGGGUGUAGUGGUGGAAUGCGUAGAGAUCCGGAGGAACACCAGCGGCGAAGGCGGCAUCCUGGACUGGUCCUGACACUCAGGAGCGAAAGCGUGGGGAGCGAU
rnacentral:rRNA from 1 species